CAAUAGGGCUCUUCGCCCCUUCGGGCUUGAGCCCUAAUUAAAGCUGCAAGCAGCGAUGAACGGGCCCUCGCACCCGGGCUCACCACCACCCAGUGCCCAUAGGAGGAACUGUGAAAGUUGGGCCAUAUGCUUAUAAAAUAAUAAAUAUUUUUUGCCACAUUUCCUGCUGCCAACAGGUGGCAUUAUGAUUAUAACUGAAUAUCGCUAUGUAAAUGUAUUUAGGCCAGGACUCUUACCAAACAUGCAAAGUUUCAGGCAGAUCAGACAUCUCAUGUUUAAGUUAGUAUGAAAUAAGUCAUUCCUGUUGCCAGCAGGCGGCGCUAUACUUAUAAUUGAAUAUUGGCCUUUAGUUGUGUUCAGGCCAGGACUCUUAUAAAACAUGUGAAGUUUGGGUCAGAUUGGGAAUUGUAUGCAUGAGUUACAACAACUUCCUGUUUCAUAGUAUUAAUAGCAUCUUUUAGCACAUAGUAAGUGUUGUUAGAAUGUUUGAAUUUUUUUUUUAGCAUGAUUAGCACACAAUGGCAUAUUUUAUUGUGUUGCUAAUAGUUCAUAAAAUUGUUAAACAUGACACUUCCUGUUGCCAGCAGGUGGUGCUAUGUCUAUAACUGAAUCUGGGCAUGUUGAUGUAUUCAGGACAGGACCCUUGUCAAACCUGUGAAGUUUGGGGCAGAUCGGACGUUGCUAGCCUGAGUUACAGCAACUUCCUUAUUCACUACAUUAGUAGCAUGCUUUAGCACUUAGCUAAGUGUUGCUAGUUGCUAUUAGUAUGUAUCAAGUAUGUUGCCAGCCUAUUUACCACUUUUGACACUUUUUAAUUUGUUCCUAGGAGUCUGUAACAGUGUUAACCAUGUCACUUCCUGUUACCAGCAGGUGGCGCUAUGACUAUAAUUGAAUUUGGUCAUGGGUGUUUGUUCAGGACAGAACACCUAUCACAUGUGUGAAGUUUGGGGAAGAUCGGACAUUGCUUGCCUUAGUUACAGCAAAUUCCUUUUUCAAUGCCUUAGUAGAAUGCUUCAACACUUAGCUAAGUGUUGCUAGCAUGAUUUAUUAUGUUUCUAGCAUGUUGCCAGCCUAUUUAACAUGUUUUGACACUUUUUAAUUUGUUCCUAGGAGUCCAUAACAUUGUUAACCUUGUCACUUCCUGUUACCAGCAGGUGGCGCUAUGACUAUAACUGAAUUUGGUCAUGAGUGUUUGUUCAGAGCAGAACUCCUAUCACACGUGUGAAGUUUGGGGAAGAUCGGACAUUGCUUGCCUUUUUACAGCAACUUCCUUUUUCACUGCCUUAGUAGAAUGCUUUAACACUUAGCUAAGUGUUGCUAGCAUGUUUAGUUAUGUUUCUAGCAUGCUGCCAGCCUAUUUAACACUUUUUGACACUUUUUAAUUUGUUCCUAGGAGUCCAUAACAGUGUUAACCUUGUCACUUCCUGUUACCAGCAGGUGGCGCUAUGACUAUAACUGAAUUUGGUCAUGGUUGUUUGUUCAGGACAGAACACCUAUCACACGUGUGAAGUUUGGGGAAGAUCGGACAUUGCUUGCCUUUUUUACAGCAACUUCCUUUUUCACUACAUUAUUAGCAUGCUUUAGCACUAAGCUAGUGUUGCUAGCAUGUAUUAGUAUGUAUCUAGUAUGUUGCCAGCCUAUUUAACACUUGUUUACACUUUUUAAUAUGUUCCUAGGAGUCUGUAAUAGUGUUAACCAUGUCACUUCCUGUUACCAGCAGGUGGCGCUAUGACUAUAACUGAAUUUGGUCAUGGUUGUUUGUUCAGGACAGAACACCUAUCACACGUGUGAAGUUUGGGGAAGAUCGGACAUUGCUUGCCUUUUUUACAGCAACUUCCUUUUUCACUGCCUUAGUAGAAUGCUUUAACACUUACAGUCCAUACAGUGUUGUAAAGUCGUGAAACUAUCCAUAUUUACUCAGAAUGACUUUUAUUCUGUAUGAAAAAAGGUUUUGAAGUGUUUGGAAUUUAAAAAUGCAGGACAAUUAAUAAUUCCCUUUUUACUGUCAUUUAAAAAAAUCACCACGACAAAACCAUUCAAGCUAUCCAAAAUCCAUUGGCAAUUUAAGUUCCUCAUUGUUUUGGCAUCAUGUAGACAAAGUUUGGUGUGUAUAGUGUUACUUUCUUCUGAGCAUUAUGCAUUAAUUCACAGCUAAAUGUAAAAAAAAAAAAAAAGUCCACAUUCAAAUCAAAAUAGCCAACUUCCUGUUGGUCGUAGCUGAUGACUGUGAAUUAGAAAGUUGUCUGUCUUGAUAAGAACAAUUUAUGUACCGAGUUUGGUGUCUGUAGCUAAAACUACCCCCCCCACACUUUUGACAAAAGUGGCGCUAUAGAGUGCCUCUUCCACGCCCUCUUGUGAACUUUUGCCAGUGUCUAUUUAUCAUUAGUACUGAUAUGUGUUCUGAGUUUGAUGAAAUUCUAAGCAUGUUAUAUGACUCAAAAUUACCUGAGAAGUAUUCAAGUUUGACGUUGCCACGGCAACAAUAUUUUUAGAUAUCUAUAUCCCCCCAGAAGAUUUAUAUUGGCUGUGAUUUAACAUUAUUCUGAUGAAGUUUGAAGCAAAUCGAGUAAAAAUAAGAUGCUGAAUUCAAAGCAUUUUUAAAAAUGACAUACUUCCUGCUUCCAGUUGGUGGCGCUAUAGCUUUGACUCCUAAUAGUCACAUAUAUGCGAUCGACAUCAUACAACGAAUAAUCUGAUGAAGUUUGAUUAAAAUCAGGAAAUGUAUGUGGAUGGUAUUAGAUACUUCCUGUUUCUCAUUUCUCGCCAUAAUUCAACGCCUCGCCACGAUCAAACCGUUCAAGAUAUCAAAAAUCCCCUGGCAAUUUUUCAUCCCCAAUGUCUUGAGAUCAUGGUGUCCGAGUUUGGUGGCAAUCGAGUAAAAAACCUAUGACAAGUAUAUCAAAUUCCAGAGCAUGCGCUUUUUACAUAACUCUAAAUAGCUGACUUCCUGUUGGGCGGAGCCUAUGACAUGCAUUACACAAGUUGUUCGGCAAAAUGAGAUCUAUAUGUGUACUGAGUUUCAUAUUAAUAUGUGCAAGUAUGUGUGAGCUAUACAUCAACAUUUCUGACUAUGUUCCAGGGGGCGCUGUAGAGCCC